rnacentral:rRNA from 1 species
AUUGAACGCUGGCGGCAGGCCUAACACAUGCAAGUCGAGCGGAGCGGCGGACGGGUGAGUAAUGCCUAGGUAUCUGCCUGGUAGUGGGGGAUAACGUCCGGAAACGGGCGCUAAUCCCGCAUACUAUCAGAUGAGCCUAGGUGGGAUUUGCUAGUUGGUGGGGUAAAGGCCUACCACGGCGACGAGCCGUAACUGGUCGGAGUGGAUGAUCAGUCACACGGGAACGUGGACACGGUCCAGACUCCAACGGGAGGCAGCAGUGGGGAAUAUUGGACAAUGGGCGAAAGCCUGAUACAGCCAGGCCGCGUGUGUGAAGAAGGUCUUCGGAUUGUAAAGCACUUUAAGUUGGGAAGCGUUACCAACAGAAUAAGCACCGGCUAACUUCGUGCCAGCCGCCGCGGUAAUUC